rnacentral:tRNA from 1 species
GGGGUUGUAGCUCAGUGAUAGAGCACUCACCUAGCAAGUGUGAGGCCCUGGGUUCGAUCCUCAGCACCA